AGGAUUUACACCAUACGAAAUCAACAAAUGCAAAUUAGACAUUUAUAAGCAUUUACUGGUCUAGAACAGAUUUGGUGCCUCUAUCAAAUAUAUAGACUGUCAUAGAAGUGGAAAUUUAAACUCAGAGAAUUAGAAUGAGUUGAUCUCAACUCAUUAGAAUUAGUUGAUCAAAUGCCACUCCUCUUGUGUUAGAAUCAACAUAACCUACCUGACUCUAACCCUACGUGUGUAUAUAUCUACUUAUAUUUUGCUGAUGCUAUGUUGUCUGGCAAAUACUAAUAACAUUAUAAAGACCCAACUUCACUGAACUCUUCCAGGGUGCCAGUUUCUCUGGUAAUAAAAGGAUCACAAAGCUCUGAUGAAUGAGCUGCUUGGACACUUUGAGAUAUUUUAAGAUUGUUCAGCAAGGAUAUACCAGUGAAAUAGACUCCAACAACUUGUGAAAUUUAAUGAAUCUAUUCAACUAGUGUCAGCCACGUCCAUAAAUAAUUUAAUAAGAAACCAUCAUCCAUGAAGAGGAAUGCAAGUCGAACAAUCAGAGAGGAACAGACCAGACCAAGGUCAACAUUCUGGGGUGGGGGAAAGAAAAGUGAGGCUUUUAAAUUGUGUCUCAGAGUUUGAUUUAUCACAUUUUCCCACAGCCCUGUGUUCUGGGCCUUUUGGUAUGAAAAGCUGCAGGUUGCUGACGGUGUGAUUUUAAUUGUAACUCUUUCCAGGCAUAUGUGUUGAGAGGUCUAUAAUAAAAGCAUGGCAUAUUUAAAGUCACCAAAUUCCUAUAAAAUGGUUAUUCGAAUUGAGAGUUUGUAGUUGUACUGACUGAAACUGCCCAGAAGUCGAUUAAUAAAGUAGAAAGCUAUUGCUAUUAUAUUUUAAACACUGCCUCUAAUCAUUGGUAUUUCUACUAUUUUAUGUAAAUAAAUAGUUGAACGUCAUCUAUUAGACACUUUAAAAUAUGCCAGUUGGUGUGAUUCAAAUAUAUAUAAUCUAGAAAAUGAUAAUAUUCUUCCUCAAAAUAAGAUCUGAGUAGAAAAGGGAAAUACAAUUUUUUUGUCAUUUCUUAAUACUCUAAGCAGUAAUAUAACAAUAUUAAUCAUUAAACAAAAUGUUUAUUGAAAAAUUAUAGUUUAGAAAGAUCAGAAUCACACAUGAUAAAAUGAGGGGUCAACAUCAUGGAAAGGCUAGAAAAUUCUCUUCCUUUUCAGUUCUCAAAUCACUACCUUUUCCAUAAAACCUGACUCAUAUUUGGAAGUGGAAUCUAGUUGUUAAGUGGGUCAAAAACAUACAGUUUAAAAAUUUUUAAAUCAUUGCAGAAGUAUGCUCUGAGAUGAAUGAAACAUGUUGUGCAUAAAGAAUAAAAUUUGAGAUUAAAGAAAAAAGUUUUCUUGAAAUUAAGUGAAAAUCUUAAAGAGUUUUUUAUGAACUUUUAAAGGUUUAAUUCAUUAGCAAUAUUUUGUCCAAUAGACCUUUAUUGACAUUGAAUAUGAACUCAAAGAACAUGAGCUCCCAUUGAAGCAGAAGUGGCUUAGGUUCCAUCUAAGAAGAAUAUAUGAAAUUAUUACAUUAUGGUAGCACUGUGAUGUGCUCAGAUAUGCCUUGCCAUGGGCAUCUGAUAUGAGAUUGUGUCCCAUUUUUGCACUCUUCAGUUGAGAGCAUUACCUACCCUUCAGGAACCUUAGUUUCUUCAUCUAUAUAAAUAAGGAUGAUAACGUAUUUUUUGCAGGGCCAACAGCAUGAUGAGAGAGCAUCUGGUUCAUUGAGGGGCUCAAGAUAAGUAGUAAUAAGAGCAGUAAUAGAAUGUGUCACUUAAAAGUCCAAAUUAGUCUGCAGUGGCUUAAAUUCCACUUAUUAGCUGUACAACCUUGGGCAAAUGGCUUACAUUUUCUGAUCCUCAAUAACCUCAUCUAUAAAAUGCAGUUAGUAAUAGUACCUAUAUCUUAAGGUAAUAUGGACAUUAAAUAAAAUAUUGUGUUUUGAGUGCUUUGAACUUGGCCAUAAUGGUUUUCAAUAAACAAAUGUUAGCUGUUCUAUCUAAAUGUUAUCUGUACAUAUCUAUUAUGUAACUAAGUCUGUAUUAAUGGUCUCUUUCCUCAGAUAUUAAAAUGAUACUAAUAAUUUGGCUCCUCACAUGUUUUUGUGAUAAAUUAAAGUGAAAUGCUUUGUUUAUAGAUUCAUAAAGAGACACUCAAGCUAACA